rnacentral:rRNA from 1 species
AGCGUACACGGUGGAUGCCCUGGCAGUCAGAGGCGAUGAAGGACGUGCUAAUCUGCGAUAAGCGUCGGUAAGGUGAUAUGAACCGUUAUAACCGGCGAUUUCCGAAUGGGGAAACCCAGUGUGUUUCGACACACUAUCAUUAACUGAAUCCAUAGGUUAAUGAGGCGAACCGGGGGAACUGAAACAUCUAAGUACCCCGAGGAAAAGAAAUCAACCGAGAUUCCCCCAGUAGCGGCGAGCGAACGGGGAGCAGCCCAGAGCCUGAAUCAGUGUGUGUGUUAGUGGAAGCGUCUGGAAAGGCGCGCGAUACAGGGUGACAGCCCCGUACACAAAAAUGCACAUACUGUGAGCUCGAUGAGUAGGGCGGGACACGUGGUAUCCUGUCUGAAUAUGGGGGGACCAUCCUCCAAGGCUAAAUACUCCUGACUGACCGAUAGUGAACCAGUACCGUGAGGGAAAGGCGAAAAGAACCCCGGCGAGGGGAGUGAAAAAGAACCUGAAACCGUGUACGUACAAGCAGUGGGAGCACGCUUAGGCGUGUGACUGCGUACCUUUUGUAUAAUGGGUCAGCGACUUAUAUUCUGUAGCAAGGUUAACCGAAUAGGGGAGCCGAAGGGAAACCGAGUCUUAACUGGGCGUUAAGUUGCAGGGUAUAGACCCGAAACCCGGUGAUCUAGCCAUGGGCAGGUUGAAGGUUGGGUAACACUAACUGGAGGACCGAACCGACUAAUGUUGAAAAAUUAGCGGAUGACUUGUGGCUGGGGGUGAAAGGCCAAUCAAACCGGGAGAUAGCUGGUUCUCCCCGAAAGCUAUUUAGGUAGCGCCUCGUGAAUUCAUCUCCGGGGGUAGAGCACUGUUUCGGCAAGGGGGUCAUCCCGACUUACCAACCCGAUGCAAACUGCGAAUACCGGAGAAUGUUAUCACGGGAGACACACGGCGGGUGCUAACGUCCGUCGUGAAGAGGGAAACAACCCAGACCGCCAGCUAAGGUCCCAAAGUCAUGGUUAAGUGGGAAACGAUGUGGGAAGGCCCAGACAGCCAGGAUGUUGGCUUAGAAGCAGCCAUCAUUUAAAGAAAGCGUAAUAGCUCACUGGUCGAGUCGGCCUGCGCGGAAGAUGUAACGGGGCUAAACCAUGCACCGAAGCUGCGGCAGCGACGCUGAUGCGUUGUUGGGUAGGGGAGCGUUCUGUAAGCCUGCGAAGGUGUGCUGUGAGGCAUGCUGGAGGUAUCAGAAGUGCGAAUGCUGACAUAAGUAACGAUAAAGCGGGUGAAAAGCCCGCUCGCCGGAAGACCAAGGGUUCCUGUCCAACGUUAAUCGGGGCAGGGUGAGUCGACCCCUAAGGCGAGGCCGAAAGGCGUAGUCGAUGGGAAACAGGUUAAUAUUCCUGUACUUGGUGUUACUGCGAAGGGGGGACGGAGAAGGCUAUGUUGGCCGGGCGACGGUUGUCCCGGUUUAAGCGUGUAGGCUGGUUUUCCAGGCAAAUCCGGAAAAUCAAGGCUGAGGCGUGAUGACGAGGCACUACGGUGCUGAAGCAACAAAUGCCCUGCUUCCAGGAAAAGCCUCUAAGCAUCAGGUAACAUCAAAUCGUACCCCAAACCGACACAGGUGGUCAGGUAGAGAAUACCAAGGCGCUUGAGAGAACUCGGGUGAAGGAACUAGGCAAAAUGGUGCCGUAACUUCGGGAGAAGGCACGCUGAUAUGUAGGUGAAGCGACUUGCUCGUGGAGCUGAAAUCAGUCGAAGAUACCAGCUGGCUGCAACUGUUUAUUAAAAACACAGCACUGUGCAAACACGAAAGUGGACGUAUACGGUGUGACGCCUGCCCGGUGCCGGAAGGUUAAUUGAUGGGGUCAGCGCAAGCGAAGCUCUUGAUCGAAGCCCCGGUAAACGGCGGCCGUAACUAUAACGGUCCUAAGGUAGCGAAAUUCCUUGUCGGGUAAGUUCCGACCUGCACGAAUGGCGUAAUGAUGGCCAGGCUGUCUCCACCCGAGACUCAGUGAAAUUGAACUCGCUGUGAAGAUGCAGUGUACCCGCGGCAAGACGGAAAGACCCCGUGAACCUUUACUAUAGCUUGACACUGAACAUUGAGCCUUGAUGUGUAGGAUAGGUGGGAGGCUUUGAAGUGUGGACGCCAGUCUGCAUGGAGCCGACCUUGAAAUACCACCCUUUAAUG